ACCAUGCCUGGCUAAUUUUUGUAUUUUUAGUAGAGACACGGUUUCACCAUGUUGGCCAGGCUGGUUUUGAACUCCUGACCUCAGGUGAUCCACUCGCCUCGGCCUCCCAAAAUACUGGGCCCCAAGUAUAAUUUGAGCCCCAGUACUGAUUGAGUCCAUGAAGUAUGUCAGUUUGUAUAUUUUAGCAAAUGCUAAAGUUAAUUUAGACCUUAUGUUGUAGAGACAAAAAACCCAAUCAGUGUCCUAUUUAUCUUUUUGUAAUAUAAAUUCUUUGGUAUAUACAUUCUGGAUUUCUAAUUGGGCCAAAUUAUGGACCUUUGUUUUAAUUUAGUUAUAUAUGCUAUAUCCAUAUCUAUAGGUACAUAUACGAUCUAUUCCUUAUGUCUAUAUUAAAAUAUUAUAUGGAUGGCCUGACCAGAGUGUCUGCCAUGGAGUCACAGAAAGAGGCGCCAACACUCCAGGAACCCGUCGCGCGGCCAGCUGGGGCCUCAAGGUCUCAGACGCCAAACGACUAGGAGCUGCGGGAGGGCGGCGCAGUGCUGGCGACGGCUGCCCUGGGCACAGAGGCGGACGACGCUGGUACGGACUGGCUAUGGGAGCCGCAGGUGCAGCCGGCCGAGCGGAGGCCCGAGUGCAGCCGCUGCAGCCGGUCUCAGAAAGUGUGUUUGUGUCCAUUUCUCCCAGCGCACCCUUUGCAUAUCUCUACCCACUUGUACAUAAUUCAGCAUCCAGCAGAGGAAAACAAAAUGUUGUAGACAGUUCCUCUACUAGCAGCAUGCCUCCCUCAGGACAAGCGCAAAGUAAAGAUUGGUCGUCUCUUCAGUGAAGAAAAAGAUCCUGAACUUUCAACUGUUUGCUGGAAAUUUGGUACAUUAUUAUUAUAUCCAGGGGCUGAAGCUGCUAAUUUGGAAGAAUUUAUGUUAGAUUCUCCGGUUUAUCCUUCACAAUCAUCAUCAUUGAUGGUACACGGAGCCAGGCUAAGGACAUUUUCUGUAAGAAUUCCUUGUUCUGACACCCCAAACAGGUGCAGUUAAAAACUAGCAUUUCUAGUCAAUAUGUAAUUCGGAUGCAGCCAACUAAUAGAAGUCUUUCUACACUGGAGUGUGCAGCUGUUGCUCUUUCCAUCUUGGAGAAAAGUAAUUACAUAAAAGAGACUUUGUCUCGCCCUCUUGAAACUUUAUGCUCUUUCCAACGUUAGCAUGGUGCCCAAAUUAGCCUCAGCAAGGAACACCUUCUGAAAAAUGGAUUAUAUCCUAAACCAAUGCCAAAGAACAAACGCAAACUCAGGAAAAUGCAACUGUUAAAGAAUAGUGUUAAAAUUUAGUACAGUUGUUCUUUUGGUGCUAGCUUACCUGUCUUCAUCUAACAAUACCAAGUUAAGUUUUCAUAUAGUUUAGGUCUAUAGGUUUUUGACUUGCUAAAGUAGAAUGAGAAUUGCAUACUAAUCUUGCCCAGAAGAAGGAAGUAAACCAAAUAUCCAUAGAAACAAAUAAACAAACGAAAAUUCACUGACUCACUGAAAAGCAAGAGUUCAUACUGUACUUGUUUUUAAAAAUGUGCCUCUAAUAAUACAUGUUUUCAAACUCAAAUUUAAAAUGUGUUUUGUUGUUGAGCUGGGUUUGAAGUUCUUGCUUGUAAAAUAGAAGGAAAUUGUUGUGGUAGAUUGAAACAGUAUUGUUUUCAUUAAUGUUUAUAAAUAAGUAGGUGUAGACCAAUAAUAUAAGAUACCUACAUCAAUUUGCUAUCCUAACUUUAUAAUUUGAAAUAAGUAGCAGAAGAAAAUUAUGAUAAUCAAGUAAUUCAUUAUUUUGUAAAAUAAUAUAAAGGGAUAAGAAAACCUCAUUGUUAAGGGCUAAAUUUGAAUUCAGCUAAUAUGAUUUAAGUAUUCUAUUAAUUGCCCUGAUUUUUAAAGAGGUACAUGUAAUUUUGAAACAGCACACAUUUUCAUUUGCAGUUACUCUGGAUAAAUUUUUAUUUUUCAGUGUUCAUUGAACAGGCUUAUUGACUAUGGUAAACUUAUUUUAUUGAAGUUUUCAAAUGGAAAAUAGUAAGUGGAAUAUGAUACAACUGUUAUUUUCAGAACAUAUUUCUUUAGGGCUAUUUAAAAUAACCUUUUUAUUGGGCAAAAACUUUCAACUUGAGAGAACAAAUUCCUCUCCUCUGUGGGAAAAUAUUUGCUGAGAUUUUGUAUAGCAUAAGAGACAUGUAGGUAACAUAUAUUUAUAUUCAGCAUAAGUCUACUGCAAUCAUGAACACGUCUUGGCAAGAAGAGGAGAUUUUGUUUUUAGUCUUUGUUUAUGACUUCUAGAGUUUCCUGUAUCUAGUGUUAAGUUGUAAGGAAAAACUAAACAUGCAAUUUAAAGGUAAACUUGAUAACUAUUUAUGGAACAUAAGCAUACACUGAUGGUUAUUUCUCAUAGUUUUCAUGCUCAUUUGUUUAUUAUUUACUUGGAUUAGACUCAUUAAAAACCAUAAUGGUGGUCACAAUUAGAAUGCUAGUAUUUGGGGAAACUAUGCAGAAAAUAUUUUAAAAUAUUAAAAGUUAGAGUGCUAUCUUCUGUUGUUGAUUUAUUUUUGGAUUUAAAAACAAAUUAGGGCUGGGCCCAAUAGCUCACACCUGUAAUCCCAGCACUUUGGGAGGCUGAGAAGUGAGAAUUGCUUGAGUCCAGGAGUUUGAGACCAGCCUGGGCAACAUGGUAAGGCCCCACCUCCACACAACUUUUUUUUUUUUUAAAUAAUUAUCCAGACGUGGUGGUGUGCACCUGUGAUCCCAGUUGCUUAGGAGGCUGAGGCAGGAGGAUUGCUUGGGCCCAAGAGGUCGAGGCUGCAGGAAGCUGUGUUCAUUCCACUGCACUCCAGCCUGGGUUACAGAGUGAGACCUGUCUCCAAAAAUAAAUAAAUAAAUAAAUAAAUAAAUAAAUAAAUAAGCUCAUUUACAAUGUAAAAAACCUAAUAUCAGAUGAUUACUUGGUGUACUAGAAAAGAAAUAGCAUAUAAUAAUAUAUAAUAGUGUCUUAACAAGUGGGGCUAAAAGCAUUUUAUAGUAACUUUUCACAUUGAUGUUAAACUUUAUGAGUUUCCUUUAGUCAUUAGUAUUUUUUAAAAAGAAAACUCCCCCAUCCCUAAUAUGCAAUUUUGUACCUCAAAAUUUUACUUUGUUGAUUUUUAAACAGUAAUUUCUACUUUUAUCUUUUAAAUAAAACAUUUUUGAGUAUUUUUGAAGACUUAAAAAGCUUAACAUUUAGUAUUCUUGGAAAUGUAUAACAUUUUCUUGAAGUAUGUAGUUUUCCAAAUUAUUUUACUGGCCUGUUAACUCACUUUACUUGUUUUUUACCUAUAUUUUCCUGACCUCUUUACAAGGCAAGUCCAUUUAAUCAUCUGUGGUACAAAGUGCUUCUCUAGUCACCUGUUCUCAUUAAACAGUUUUAAGUAAGUUUUAAAGUCAUUAUUUUAAUUACUAAAAGUUCUCAAAGUGUGUAGUAUUAUGUGAGCAUUUUAACUGAAAAUUUAGUCAGGGUUUUAAAAAGUACUUUUUUAUUGUAUUAGUUGGCUUUUAAAUUCAGAUUCUUUAUAUUUGCUUGAUUUUCCUGGAAGUUCCAGGCUUUAUGAAUUUGUAGCUGAUAGUAAGUUUUGCUUGUGUACCCCAACUGCACUUUGAUGUGGUAUAGAUGGUUUUGUGAGUUAUUUGAACCAUGUAACUCAGAGAAUAGUAUUUCCUUAUAUAUAAAGUGACUUCAGUUUUAAUCAGCCCAUUAUAGUAUAUUGAAAUCACUGUGUGUAAUGAGAGAUAUUGAGAGUUUCUAGCACAAAGGGUUGAGAACUAUAUUACACGAAGUAAGUCACAGUGCAUGGCAACUUUCUACAGGUUGGAUUACAAGACUUCUUAUGUGGAGUAGGAUAAUUAUAUUGGGAAAAAUUAUUUUUGCUAACUUUAAGACUCCAGAGACACCUUUCUCAGCCAUGACCAGUAAUGUUUUUAAAAGAUUUUGGAAGGAAUAAGCUCCUCACUAUACCACCAGUUCAUGAUUUUAAAGGAGGAGACCACCCCUCAUAUUGUCUUAUGCUUAAUGUCUGCCUCCAAAGAAAGAAGAAGUAAAAACUAAAAAGCAGAAAUGAAAUCCACAAGCAGACAGCCCAGCACCACACCCUGGGCCUGGCAGUUAAAGAUCGACCCCUGACCUAAUCGGUUAUGUUAUCUGUAGUUUACAGACAUUGUAUAGAAAAGUACUGUGAAAAUCCCUGUCCUGUUCUGUUCUGUUCUAAUUACCGGUGCAUGCAGCUCCCAGUCACGUACCCCCUGCUUGCUCAAUCAAUCACAACCCUCUCACGAGGAGCCCCUUAGAGUUGUGAGCCCUUAAAGGGACAGGAAUUGCUCACUCGGGGAGCUCAGUUGUUGGAGACGUGAGUCUUGCCGAAGCUCCCGGCUGAAUAAAGCCCUUUCU